GUCCACGCCGUAAACGUUGGGCGCUAGGUGUGGGCCACAUUCCACGUGGUCUGUGCCGCAGCUAACGCAUUAAGCGCCCCGCCUGGGGAGUACGGCCGCAAGGCUAAACUCAAAGGAAUUGACGGGGCCCGCACAAGCGGCGGAGCAUGCGGCUUAAUUCGAUGCAACGCGAAGAACCUUACCUGGGUUUGACAUGCAGGGGAAAUCUCGUAGAGAUACGAGGUCCGUAAGGGCCUUGCACAGGUGGUGCAUGGCUGUCGU
rnacentral:rRNA from 1 species